rnacentral:rRNA from 1 species
UACGUAGGGACGAGCGUUGUCCGGAUUUAUUGGGCGUAAAGAGCUCGUAGGCGGCUUGUCGCGUCGGCUGUGAAAUCCCGUGGCUCAACUGCGGGUCUGCAGCCGAUACGGGCAGGCUAGAGUUGGUAGGGGAGACUGGAAUUCCUGUGUAGCGGUGGAAAUGCGCAGAUAUCAGGAGGAACACCGGUGGCGAAGGCGGGUCUCUGGGCCGAUACUGACGCUGAGGAGCGAAAGCGUGGGGAGCGAACAGGAUUAGAACUACUAGUCA